AACGAACGCUGGCGGCAGGCUUAACACAUGCAAGUCGAACGCACCGCAAGGUGAGUGGCGCACGGGUGAGUAACGCGUGGGAAUCUGACCUGGAGUAAGGGAUAACAGUUGGAAACGACUGCUAAUACCUUAUACGCCCCGAGGGGGAAAGGUUAACUGCUCUGGGAGGAGCCCGCGUCCAAUUAGGUAGUUGGUGAGGUAACGGCUCACCAAGCCGACGAUUGGUAGCUGGUCUGAGAGGAUGACCAGCCACACUGGGACUGAGAACGGCCCAGACUCCUACGGGAGGCAGCAGUGGGGAAUAUUGGACAAUGGGGGCAACCCUGAUCCAGCCAUGCCGCGUGAGUGAUGAAGGCCUUAGGGUUGUAAAGCUCUUUCGGGUGGGACGAUGAUGACGGUACCACCAGAAGAAGCCCCGGCUAACUUCGUG
rnacentral:rRNA from 1 species